GAUUUUUCUUAACGCGAAGAGACGGUCAACAGUCGCCUUCCGACCUGCCGCCAUGUUUUUAGGACCUAGUGAACACUUUGUCAGUUUUAUGCUGAAGCUUUUCAGUGACAAACCACCCGAAACGACGAGAAUCAACAGGUGGAGCUAUAUGGAUCAGAACAUCCAUAUAGGCUGAUGUAUUCCAGUUAUUGAAACUAUAACGAUGUAUUCAAAGAUGAAGCUCAGAUUAGUUUUAGAUGUUGUUUUUGCAACAACAAGGAAACGCCGGGCUGUGAUCGGCUCCCCGCUAUCUGCAAAGCGAAGGUAGGAUUUGUUUUAUUUAUUUUUAUUUGUUUUAAGUAGGGUUGCUGUUUAUGAGGAUGUCCAAUGUACCGUGUAGUAAAUGCAUUUGAUCCAGCUUCCCUUUGCAUGAGUUACUGCAUCAGUGUGAUGUGACAUGGAGGCAAUUAGCCUGUGGCUCUGCUGAGGUUUGAGAUUGCUUUGAUAGCAUAAUUUGGGUGAGUUCCAUUAUUGCAAAUGGAGUCUCCAUGUGCCGUAUAGACUGCCUGUGGGGUUUAGGCCGGGUUAGGUGAGAUGAUAAAUUGAUCAAUAAAACAACUCUUGGUGCUCUUAGUGUGCAAGUGCUGCGGGAAAAUGAAAUCAGCAUCUCACUUUCGAAUUUAAAAUUGAAUUAAAAACACUGUUUUAUGUAUUGAUUUCCAUUUCAAAGUGUCCCAUAAAUACCCGCUUGAAGGAAGUUUUCUUGAUGAGUUGAUGGAAUGUGAAACGUCAAGGCUUUUUUGUUUUCAUUAGACGUGAUGAUGUAGAUUUGCCACAAGAUGUCAGUAUCAUCUUAUGUGCCUUAACCGAAGAAAUGAAGCAUCUUCAUUCAAAAAGGAAUUACCAGUUGGGAGCUUCUGCUUCUGGAAGUUAAAUCUCACCAAAAAAGAGAUGUCGCUUCUCCUUUCUCUCCUCUUUCCUCAGACAAUAAGAGCUGGAGACGGAUGAGGGAGCCGUCGGAGUAGAUUAUUCCAUCUGGAGUCUCCUGAAAUCUACAGCCGCAGCCGUCCUCCUCGGGAAGAGCAACGAUGACGUCAAGCUUGGACUUUGCUUCACUUUUUGGCCAGUGAUAUCUUUUAGCUUUGAUUUACUGUUAAAAAUGUAGAGGGCGCGGUGUUUUCAGUCCAUUUAAAAACUCUUUCUCACCUUAUUUCUCCGCAAACGAGGUGCAGAAUUAUCCUGACAAAUGCGGGCAUGGCAGAUACGAUAAACGAAAACAUCAUUUAGACAAGUUAUGAUUUGUGAGUAGGAAGGCAGCAAUAUGCUCUUGUCCUAAAGGGAAAUUUUCUCUUAUUGUCUUCCUUCUCCUGCAGAGGGUCUCCAUCAUCCUAAUGAUGUGGGCUCUCCUUUACCAUCAGGAAGCGUAAAUAGAGAUCCUUUCUUGUGCAGUUUGGGAUGCAGCACCAUUAUUAGCCUCAUACGCAUACCAUAAUGAAGAUGAGGACAGAUCAGUUUUAUUUGUACUCUGCAGCAGUAAACGUAAAUUUCUCGUUCUUUCCACAGGCGAAUUCUGAGUGGCUUCAAAGUUCAGCCUCCCCUCUUUCUCGUCUUCUGUGGUGUUUUAAAGGAGCAAUUGAAAUCUGCAAGUAUUCAUCAAUAUGAUGUUGAUGAACAUCAGUAUGUCUUGAAUCUGCUGAUUCAAAAAAUCAGCAAAUUUUUUGAAAUCGGAAGUCGUUUAUAUGCAUUAGACGCCCCGAGCCUCAUCCUCAGGCUUACAGCUUUUUUCUUUUUCUUUCCUCUUUUGCAUUUUGCAGCAGAUAUUACAGCUUUUUAGCGAACCGGUGGUUAUUCCGACCGGUUGCGCUUAUUGCUCAAGAAGAGGAAACAAUGGGGACACUUGAUUUUUACAGCCGGUGUCUGGUGAACAUGUUUAACAGCGAGCGUCACAGAUUUACCUCGGUGUUACUAUGCUUUGACUUUUACAGUUUACUGGGCUAUAAAAUAAAGUGUUUUGGAUCAGCA